CAUGAGGUGUAUAUUAUCUUUGAUGUAAAUAUAAUUUGGUUGUAUUGUUAAGAUAUUUUUUUUGCCUCUUUAAAUCUACUUCAUCCAGGGUCAUUUAAUUGUUAAUUGAAACCUAUAUACUAAAUCUUUUUUCUUAGUUUUCUUUCAUUUAUAAAAAAAAAAAAAACUAAGUGGCGCCCUCUUAUUUAAUAGUUAUAAUCAAGAUUAUAUUCUUUAAUAGCCAGUCAUAAGUGAACCUUCGAACAAUCCCAAGCCUCCAAUAAUUCUGAGCUACCGUCUGCAAACUCUUGGCAAAAUAGUAACACUGUAAAGUAACGCCACAGGAGGUUAUUCAGAAAUGUAGCUGUUCAAGAUAGGAGAGAGCUUAUUUUGGCAGACUUCAAAGAAUCUUUAUAGACAAUCCGUUAAUCCCGAAGAAUGUUUAUCCUUAACUGUAUGAAGAAAACUCUUAACCCCAUGCACAUCAGCUGUCUGAGUGAAGUAAAAGGGUGCGUGAUAAAAAAGCUAGAGGAUGGCGAUUUAGAUUACCUGCUAUUGAAUAGUAAAACUGAUUUAAACAUGACAAGAUUGGUAGUGGCUAAAUGCUCAUGAUCAGAUAACCAAGGGGGGGAAUCACAAGUAUAUCAAAAACAUGUUCUGAGUGAAAAUUAUAAAAAAAUAAGAUAUUAGUUCAUUUCAAUUCUCUAGUUUAUUAAUUUAUAGUAUUUGAUAUUGUUAUUAUGAAAAUCUAAAGCAUUUUUAUUUGACAUAAAUAGUAUAUUGUAUACCUAGUAGGAAAAGCUUAACAUUCCCGGGCGAUCGUAAAAAUUGCCAUUGGCAAUACGGAGUCUGGGAAUGUGGCUUUUCCUACGAGGUUUACAUACUAUUUUUCCGAAAAUCGGGAAUCAUUAAAAUUACGGUAAAUUAUUACUAAUCAUGUUAAAAAUUUCAAAUUAACAUUAUUAUUUUUCCCUUAAAUAAAAGAAGCCAUGAAACAUUGUUUUAUAACUACGGAAACGAAGUACAUAAUUUUAAAUUGUCAAACUUGACGAGUGAAAAGUUUAUUUGUGGCGUCUUUCCAAAGUGUUGAUUUUUUAACGUUUUAAAAAGCCAAAGUAACGUGUAAAAUGAUGAGUGAUGAUGACUGUUCCAUUUCUGAAACCCUCCCAGAACUCACGGAGGCAGUGAAUGCUGCAUCAUUGGAAUUGUUACCAAUAAAAUCUAGAAAUAAGUAUAACUAUGCAUACAACCGCUUCAUGGACUACCGUACGAAUAAAAAUGUAACUUCUUUCUCGGAAAAUGUUGUAAUGGCAUACUUCUUGGAGCUUGGUUCCAAGAUGAAUUCUUCAACUUUAUGGGCCAAUUGUUCAAUGUUGAAGGCAACCCUUGCAACAUGAUGCGGAUGACAUGAUGUGGAUAUAUCUGAAUAUUCAAAACUUCGGGCAUUCCUGAAACAACAAGCACAUGCCUAUAAGCCAAAAAAAUCCAAGAUUUUAACUAAAGAAGAAAUAAACAAAUUUAUUCAGGAAGCUCCAGAUAAGGAAUAUUUAAUGAUUAAGGUAGCUGUAAUAUUUGGAAUUUCCGGAGCUUGCAGAAUGGACGAGCUGGUUAAAAUGACUGUACAAGAUAUACAAGACCUACUAUCUAAACUUUUAGUUACCAUACCGGAUUCAAAAACCAAUACAUCAAGAUCAUUUAUAGUAAUAGUUAUUGUCAUACAAAUAAAAUUAUUAGUUUGGAAAAUA